GAGUGAAGCAUCGAUAACAUCGAUGUUUUCAAAACAUCGAAACCAUCGAUGGUUCGUGAUCACCAUCGAUGUUUUCACUAACAACUCUGCGCUCGGUACGAACAAAUUGAUUUCUAGUUGGUGGUUUGGUGGACGUUGAUGGAUGACGAAGGCAAGAUUACGUGAAAAGUAAGUUAUAUAUCUUCUUUACAAGCCCACGCUUCACUUAGAUAUGUGUGCACGUGUGUGUAUGUACACACAUACAUCCAUAAAUUAGCGAAAUUAGCCAAAUUUCACAUUUUCAUUUUGCAAAACAAAUCAAAGUGAAGUCCACCCGAGCCGAUGCCAUUAUUACCACAAGGCAAUUUAUGGAAAAGGAAAAUGCUCCUGACACUUGCGACCCCUUAAAGUAUUGGGAGAUGACUGAUGACAACGAUCUCAAAUUGGUUGUGCAAAAAUAUUUCUG